AUUAGACCUCACCUUGGAGAUCAUCUCCCUGCUGAGCGGAGAGGAGUACACAAUAGUGAAGAAGACAUUGGGGGACUGUGUGACUCCCAUCAUCCAUCUCCAGGAGUCAGGAGGGUGGAGCAGGACCCCUCACCUCAUCACAGAGCCUCCUCCUCACCCCCUUAUACAUGAGCAGAAGAUCCUAGAACUCACCCACCAGAUAUUGGAGCUGCUGACUGGAGAGGUUCCUAUAAGGUGUCAGGGCGUCACUGUCUAUUUCUCCAUGGAUGAGUGGGAGU